AGAGUUUGAUCAUGGCUCAGAGCGAACGCUGGCGGCAGGCUUAACACAUGCAAGUCGAGCGGGCGUAGCAAUACGUCAGCGGCAGACGGGUGAGUAACGCGUGGGAACGUACCUUUUGGUUCGGAACAACCCAGGGAAACUUGGGCUAAUACCGGAUAAGCCCUUACGGGGAAAGAUUUAUCGCCGAAAGAUCGGCCCGCGUCUGAUUAGCUAGUUGGUGAGGUAACGGCUCACCAAGGCGACGAUCAGUAGCUGGUCUGAGAGGAUGAUCAGCCACAUUGGGACUGAGACACGGCCCAAACUCCUACGGGAGGCAGCAGUGGGGAAUAUUGGACAAUGGGCGCAAGCCUGAUCCAGCCAUGCCGCGUGAGUGAUGAAGGCCCUAGGGUUGUAAAGCUCUUUUGUGCGGGAAGAUAAUGACGGUACCGCAAGAAUAAGCCCCGGCUAACUUCGUGCCAGCAGCCGCGGUAAUACGAAGGGGGCCAGCGUUGCUCGGAAUCACUGGGCGUAAAGGGUGCGUAGGCGGGUCUUUAAGUCAGGGGUGAAAUCCUGGAGCUCAACUCCAGAACUGCCUUUGAUACUGAAGAUCUUGAGUUCGGGAGAGGUGAGUGGAACUGCGAGUGUAGAGGUGAAAUUCGUAGAUAUUCGCAAGAACACCAGUGGCGAAGGCGGCUCACUGGCCCGAUACUGACGCUGAGGCACGAAAGCGUGGGGAGCAAACAGGAUUAGAUACCCUAGUAGUCC
rnacentral:rRNA from 1 species